CGUACACCCCAGGCAGACGGUAAUAUUGAUAGCCUUUAUAAAUUACAGCACAUUAAGAAAUCAAGUUUUGCGCAUGCUUAGAUUUCCAAACCAGUAACAGCACUUGGAUGCAUUCUCAAGCAUCCCAUUCCAUUUUCAACUUGGAUCGUGAACUACCAGCGUGAUUGGGACGGAGCAGUCCUCAGAUGACAUCAGAGAUAAAUCCAUCAACUGAGCAUUCAGCAGAAGUAAAUCUUGCAAUCUUGCUGAAGAAAAAAAUAUUAUUGAGUGCCACAUUUUUCUCCAAACAAAAUCAACCA